UGACCCGGAAGCCCACGGCGGGUUCCGCCCCUCGUUCGGGGAGAGGCAGGCUCGGACCGGCCCACCGAGCCGCCGCCGCCCUUAGCGCCCUCCUCGCCGCCGCCAUGCUCCAGUUCCUGCUUGGAUUUACUUUUGGCAACGUGGUUGGAAUGUAUCUGGCUCAGAACUAUGACAUACCAAACCUGGCUAAAAAACUAGAAGAAAUUAAAAAGGACUUGGAUGCCAAGAAGAAACCCCCUAGUUCAUGAGGCGGACUCCAGCACUGCCUUCUGGAUAUACGGAUUCUGCUGUUCUUGAGGGCCUCCUUACCAUUUGAACCAAAAGCUUUUGUUUUGAAUUCCAGCCUCAACAAUUUUCCUGUUAGAUCCUACGUCGCUUGAGAGCAUAGAUGGGGCCACAAGUUAAGAACCACCCUUUUCCAACUUCCUCACCUCAUCCCUUCCUCCUUCCAGCCACUUGAGACGGCCUAAGACUGGAAUUAUGGUGCUAGAUUAGUAAAUGUGACCUUUAAUUUGUAGUCUCUCCUUUAUUCUUGGAAUUUCUACUCUUUUCUAAAGAAAAAUUGAUGAGUUUUAUAUAGCCGAUCAGACAUAAAUAAUGCUGAUUACACGGCUUAGCGAUUAUAAUGGGUGUUUUAAACAUUUGGUACUAAAUUAUGUUGUUUUAAAGUCAUUAAAAUUAAAGCCCAGAAGCCAGUUACUCCGGAAUUAUCCACUUAUUAUAUACUGUUGUCAGACAGCUCCAUAAGUGCUAAUUUAAUCAGUAAAUCAAUUUACUACUCAUUAACUGAGAAACUGUAUUCUGAGAACCCUGUCAGGAACUAGGGAGUUAGUUUAAAAAUGUAAAAUAAUGGCCCUUAUCCUCCGUAGAAUUCAUAGUCUAGUAUGCAUGUUUUUCCUUAAUCGUGUCUUUGAUUUGGCUCUUUUCCCUCAAAAGAAUCCUACUUAUCUUAGGGCAUUAUAGGUGCAUUUGACGUUACAUGAUGGAUAAAUGACAAGUUGUAAAGGAAAUUUUAUGCCUCUUGACAUUAAAAAUGUAUUUACAUUAUACCUUUA